GGAGUCUUGUUUUAUCACCCAGGCUGGAGUGCAGUUGCACAAUCUCAGCUCACUGCAGCCUCUGUCUCCCGGGUUCAAGCGAUCCUCCCAGAAUGGAAGAGCAACCUGUUUGCUCCUACUUGGAAAAGAUUCUUUCUAAAAAUAUGGAACUGAUGGAAAAGAAACUUACGGAUUACAUUGAUCAGCGAAUACAUAAACUCCAGGAGCACAUUGAUGAUAAGAUUUCUUUGUUAAUGGAUUUGCUGCAAAAUCCUAACUCCCCGCCCACUGGGAUACCUCUAAGACAUUAUGACUCUGGAGAAAGACUUUCAAAUGGAGAAAGAUGAGCUCUCAACAUAAACAGU
rnacentral:sRNA from 1 species